GUGAAUGUAGCUCAGUUGGUUAGAGCACCAGAUUGUGGUUCUGGGGGUCGGGGGUUCGAGUCCCCUCUUUCACC
rnacentral:tRNA from 1 species